rnacentral:rRNA from 1 species
CAGCAGCCACGGUAAUACGGAGGGAGCUAGCGUUGUUCGGAAUUACUGGGCGUAAAGCGCACGUAGGCGGUUAUUCAAGUCAGAGGUGAAAGCCCGGGGCUCAACCCCGGAACUGCCUUUGAAACUAGAUGACUGGAAUCUUGGAGAGGUCAGUGGAAUUCCGAGUGUAGAGGUGAAAUUCGUAGAUAUUCGGAAGAACACCAGUGGCGAAGGCGACUGACUGGACAAGUAUUGACGCUGAGGUGCGAAAGCGUGGGGAGCAAACAGGAUUAGAUACCCCCGUAGUCCCUGUCUCUUAUAU